CGGAAGUUCUAUGCACAGCCUGCAGAUAUCUUAACAGGCUGGAAAUCUACCUGCAGCGGGGCAGAGGCAACCCUAAACAUUUCCCUGGGACGGAAGCACAGGGAGAGACUGAAAAGGCUGGUAUGAUACUGUCGUGAGCAAGGGCCAAGUGGCACUUCCCGCUGGGAAGGAUGGCAACAGAGCUCCUUCACUCAGGUGUUCGUACACUGGAUUCCACCACGAGAAAUACCUCAGGAGUGUAACAUCGUCCAGGACAUCUUCUUUUAGAACAAGACUGAUGUGAGAGCAAGACCAUGAUGAGUCGAACUGAGUUAGCAAAAUCCAAGAGUUAUCAUGUGAAAGCAACUUGAAGAUAAAGACUGUGAUUAACACAGAGUUCCUUUGUCCUACCCAUCCCAAGCCAGUGCUACUGUCCUCCAAGGCGGUAAACCCUAAACAUACUACAAAAACAAAGACAUCUCAUAGCAUUCGACUCUGUUGAGGCAAGUAAUAUUUUGGCUCAAACUGGGAUAGUCUUCCUGUGUACACAGCCUUGCUUAGUGGAGCAAAGGAGCAAUAAAGCAAUCAUCCAAAGGCAA